rnacentral:lncRNA from 1 species
UUAAUUUAUUUUUCAAAUGGAAAAAUAUACAAUGUCAUUCCUUGAAAAUUUCCCUAAUCUCUCUUCUUUGUGUGAAGCAUAGUCUAGGAAAAUUUGAAGCAAUAGCGUUGAUUUGUUUGGCAUUAAUAAAAGGAAAUGAAAGCAUAAAUGAAAGAUAGAAACACAACUAGGGAGCGAAGAAAAUUUAGUUUAAUUAAUAUAGGUACUUUAGUUUAAUUAUUUGUCUCAAAGGCUAGAUUGAUAAAUUUCAAUUUUAACUUGACAAAUUACUUAAUUUUAUCUUCUAGCUAAGACUUUAUUAAUUUAAAAAACCAAUAAUUUGUUUAACUUAAGUAGUUUAUGUUCAUAAAGAUAGUUACAUAAAAAAGAAGAAUUUGAAGGCCAGAAUUCAAGAGGAGGGUCAUACUUGAGGACAAUUUGAGACAACAGAAAAAAAAAUCUCUUCAUUUGAAAUGUUUAAUGACAAAACAAUCAUGACUGAAAGAAAAUCGACGGUGAAACUACCAAACCACGUAUCUCGGUUUGCGACGUCGCAGACUUCCUGUCAUAGUUUAUUUUUUAACUGAAAAACUACUUAACGUCCAGUCUUGAAAAUUUCUGUGAUUUUUCCUCUUCGUGCGGAAAAAAUUCUGUGAAAAUUUCAAGGAAUGAUAUUGAUUUGGUCUACUUCAAAAAAUAAAAUGUGAGCGUAGAUUUUUAAACACCGCAAACGAGAUACGUGGUUUGGUAGUUUCACCGUCGAAAUGUUUCAGCCAUGGGCUACCCUUUAUCAGACUAACAACAAUUAUGGAAAAUUCCAGGAUCAUCAGGUUAAUAAUCUCCGUCUCCUCUGUCUGCACUCUUGUCACGAUCCUCAUCAUGUCUGCCAUCAUCAUCAUCAUCUUCAUCAUCGUCAUCAUCAUCAUCGUCUUCAUCAUCAUCAUCGUCAUUAUCAUCAUCAUCAAAAAACAAAUCAGAGUCAGAAUCAGAGCUGCCCAAGUCAUCACCUCCGCCUGUCAUGCUUCCAAAUACUCUUCGUUUUCCACCGACCAUUCUGGAACCUGUUCACAGAGGAAUUAAUUUAUGAGAGGAGUUGGAACAUGUAA